GAAAUGCGAUACGUAAUGUGAAUUGCAGAAUUCCGUGAAUCAUCGAAUCUUUGAACGCACCUUGCGCUUCUUGGCAUUCCAGGAAGCAUGCCUGUUUGAGUCUCAGUUGACUCUCACCCGUGGAUUUGGGCGGCUCGGAUGCGACCGCCUUAAACGCAUCAAGCUGGCCUCUAGAGUGCUCCACACCUUUGGCUCGAUAAUACUUUUGUUUAUUAGCUCGAGUGUGGCGCGUCUCUGCAGGCCGAGUGACACUACCUUCUGGUACUGACACCUUGAGCUCAAAUCAGGCAAGACUACCCGCUGAACUUAA
rnacentral:misc_RNA from 1 species